ACCAGCACGGAAACUUACAAAUCAGUCAGAGAUGCUGGAUAUUGAUGAGAACAUGGUUUGUGGUAUCCCAACUAAAUUGGGAGUCACCCAACCGUGCAUACCACCUGCAGCAACAGGACAACAAGAAAUCCACAUCCAGUUGACACAUAUACUUGUGGUUUUUCAUCUGGUCCAGCUGCACUUGUGUCAUCGGGGCUAUGCUCAGUAACAAUUUUGGCAGAUGGUGUAGGUCUGCAGCUUGCUCGGGCCUGAUUGUGCGCCAGAUACGUCUGGUACCAUGAAUUUAUUUCUGUCAGGAAUGAAUUUGUCAAAAAUUGCACCUGGUGGUAGAUGAGAUGAAGAUCGA